rnacentral:rRNA from 1 species
GACAGAGGGUGCAAACGUUGCUCGGAAUCACUGGGCGUAAAGGGCGUGUAGGCGGGCAGGAAAGUCAGAUGUGAAAUCCCUGGGCUCAACCCAGGAACUGCAUUUGAAACUCCCUUUCUUGAGUACCGGAGAGGAAAGUGGAAUUCCUGGUGUAGAGGUGAAAUUCGUAGAUAUCAGGAGGAACACCAGUGGCGAAGGCGGCUUUCUGGACGGUAACUGACGCUGAGACGCGAAAGCGUGGGGAGCAAACAGG